UGGGGAAUAUUGGACAAUGGGCGCAAGCCUCAUCCAGCCAUGCCGCGUGAGUGAUGACGGCCCUAGGGUUGUAAAGCUCUUUCACCGGUGAAGAUAAUGACGGUAACCGGAGAAGAAGCCCCGGCUAACUUCGUGCCAGCAGCCGCGGUAAUACGAAGGGGGCUAGCGUUGUUCGGAUUUACUGGGCGUAAAGCGCACGUAGGCGGACUUUUAAGUCAGGGGUGAAAUCCCGGGGCUCAACCCCGGAACUGCCUUUGAUACUGGAAGUCUUGAGUAUGGUAGAGGUGAGUGGAAUUCCGAGUGUAGAGGUGAAAUUCGUAGAUAUUCGGAGGAACACCAGUGGCGAAGGCGGCUCACUGGACCAUUACUGACGCUGAGGUGCGAAAGCGUGGGGAGCAAACAGG
rnacentral:rRNA from 1 species